UGGUAGAGGGAGGUGGAAUUCCAGGUGUAGCGGUGGAAUGCGCAGAUAUCUGGAGGAACACCAGUGGCGAAAGCGGCCUCCUGGACCAUUCCUGACACUCAGACGCGAAAGCUAGGGUAGCAAACGGGAUUAGAGACCCCGGUAGUCCUAGCCCUAAACGAUGUAGACUAGACGUCGGUGGUGUAAUAGCUGUCGGUGUCCAAGCUAACGCGAUAAGUCUACCGCCUGGGGACUACGGCCGCAAGGUUAAAACUC
rnacentral:rRNA from 1 species